rnacentral:sRNA from 1 species
UGACCACAAAAGCCGCAAAGCAGCAGCCGCUGCCUGCUGCUGCCUUGAAAUCUACCUUUGUAGCUGGGCAAACAGACUUGAUUGGCUAGCUGGACGUGCGACCUCCAUGGCAGGAAGUUGGACAGCAAGAGCCCGCUAGAUGAUUGACCUUUGGCUGCCCACUUCCUGCUAGAUAAUUGGCACAAGCAUGAUAAGACAAAGAAAGCUGAAUAGCUAAGGCAAGAGAUCUGGUUCAAAAGGGUUGAAGCAUCCCUUUGCUUUGGCCAUUGCUGGAUAUAACUCACAGGCGUGCUCAAGCUGAAGAUGCCAACUCGACAGAGUGGAAAAUUUUCAACGAAAGGUCAGAUGGCCAGGAGUCCAAGGAGAUGAAGAAGAACACGAUUGAAGUUCAUAAAAUACAAUUUAUGCCGUUUAGAAAAUAAUAA